ACGCUCGACACCUACGGGAGGCGGCAGUGGGGAAUAUUGCACAAUGGGGGAAACCCGUGAUGCAGCGACGCCGCGUGGAGGAAGAAGGUCUUCGGAUUGUAAACUCCUGUUGUUGGGGAAAAAGAGGAUGGUACCCAACAAGGAAGUGACGGCUAACUACGUGCCGGCAGCCGCGGUAAUCUGAGCGGGCUGGCAAGGC
rnacentral:rRNA from 1 species